rnacentral:ncRNA from 2 species
CAACUAGCCCCGAAAAUGGAUGGC